AAAAAUAUUUUUCUACCGACCAAGUCCCCUUUUCCCACGGGGACUUUGGUGUGCAAUGGUUGCAAACACCAGCUCCUUGGUAGUGUCUGUAGCCUAUUAUCUAUAUGGGUUGCCUCAAGGGACCUUGGAGACAAUU